rnacentral:rRNA from 1 species
GACGAACGCUGGCGGCGUGCUUAACACAUGCAAGUCGAACGGAAAGGCCCUGCUUUUGUGGGGUGCUCGAUUGGCGAACGGGUGAGUAACACGUGAGUAACCUGCCCUUGACUUUGGGAUAACUCCAGGAAACUGGGGCUAAUACCGGAUAGGAUCUCCUGCUGCAUGGUGGGGGUUGGAAAGUUUCGGCGGUUGGGGAUGGUCUGGAGGCUUAUCCGCUUGUUUGUGGAGUAGUUGCUUACCAAGGCUUUGACGGCUAGCCGGCCUGAGAGGGUGACCGGCGACAUUGGGACUAAGAGACGGACCAGACUCCUAUGGGAGGCAGCAGUGGAGAAUAUUGCAGAGUGGGGGGAAGCCAGAUGCAGCAGCGCCGCGUGCGGGAUGACGGCCUUCGGGUUGUAAACCGCUUUCGACUGUGACGAAGCGUGAGUGACGGUAAUGGGUAAAGAAGCACCGGCUAACUACGUG